rnacentral:rRNA from 1 species
AAAACUCAAAGGAAUUGACGGGGGCCCGCACAAGCGGCGGAGCAUGUGGGCUUAAUUCGACGCAACGCGAAGAACCUUAACCAAGGGCUUGACAUACACCGGAAAACCCUGGAGACAGGGUCCCCCCUUGUGGUCGGUGUACAGGUGGUGCAUGGCUGUCGUCAGCUCGUGUCGUGAGAUGUUGGGUUAAGUCCCGCAACGAGCGCAACCCUUGUCCCGUGUUGCCAGCAGGCCCUUGUGGUGCUGGGGACUCACGGGAGACCGCCGGGGUCAACUCGGAGGAAGGUGGGGACGACGUCAAGUCAUCAUGCCCCUUAUGUCUUGGGCUGCACACGUGCUACAAUGGCCGGUACAAUGAGCUGCGAUACCGCGAGGUGGAGCGAAUCUCAAAAAGCCGGUCUCAGUUCGGAUUGGGGUCUGCAACUCGACCCCAUGAAGUCGGAGUCGCUAGUAAUCGCAGAUCAGCAUUGCUGCGGUGAAUACGUUCCCGGGCCUUGUACACACCGCCCGUCACGUCACGAAAGUCGGUAACACCCGAAGCCGGUGGCCCAACC